rnacentral:rRNA from 1 species
GAUGAACGCUGACAGAAUGCUUAACACAUGCAAGUCAACUUGAAUUUGGGUUUUUAACUUAGAUUUGGGUGGCGGACGGGUGAGUAACGCGUAAAGAACUUGCCUCACAGCUAGGGACAACAUUUAGAAAUGAAUGCUAAUACCUGAUAUUAUGAUUUUAAGGCAUCUUAGAAUUAUGAAAGCUAUAAGCACUGUGAGAGAGCUUUGCGUCCCAUUAGCUAGUUGGAGAGGUAACAGCUCACCAAGGCGAUGAUGGGUAGCCGGCCUGAGAGGGUGAACGGCCACAAGGGGACUGAGACACGGCCCUUACUCCUACGGGAGGCAGCAGUGGGGAAUAUUGGACAAUGGACCGAGAGUCUGAUCCAGCAAUUCUGUGUGCACGAUGAAGUUUUUCGGAACGUAAAGUGCUUUCAGUUGGGAAGAAAGAAAUGACGGUACCAACAGAAUAAGUGACGGCUAAAUACGUGCCAGCAUCCGCGGUAAUACGUAUGUCACGAGCGUUAUCCGGAUUUAUUGGGCGUAAAGCGCGUCUAGGUGGUUAUGUAAGUCUGAUGUGUAAAUGCAGGGCUCAAUUCUGUAUUGCGUUGUAAACUGUAUAACUAGAUCACUGGAUAGGUAAGCGGACUACUAGUGUAUAGGUGAAAUCGUUGAUAUUUGUUGGAAUGCCGAUGUGUGAAGCCAGCUUACUGGACAUAUACUGAUCGCUGUGUGCGUAAGCUGUGGGUUGCGAAUGGGAUUGGAUUUCGUGGGUAUGCACAGGAUGAAGUCCUCAUGGUUGAGAAGCUAUCGUGUGCUGGGCUGCCAGUGGUGUCCUGAAAUAAAAUAUUUUAUUCAUUUGUGUGAGGUUGUUAUGUCGUUGGUGUGUGUGUGUGUGUCCUGUCAUCUGCUCGUGUUGCUUGCGUGCCAGCUGUGUGAAAAAUUGUGUGUGGUGUUGUGGUGUGCUAUCCAUGUGUUGUAUCUGUGUUGGUGGUGUUGUUGUGGUGUUGUGUGGUGGUGUUGAUGUUCUGUGUGCCUUGUAUUCUGCUUAGUGUGUUGUUGUUGUGUUGUGUUGUGUUGGCUGUUCUCUGUGUCUGUUGUUGUUAUGCAUAUAGUGUUGUUAUUUAGUUUGUAGUUGAUGUUGCUAUUGUAGUGUUUGAUGCUUGCCUUU